AAGAAAUUAGUUUAAAUAAAACAUUAGACUGUCAGACUAAAAAUAUUAAUUCUUAAUAUUUCUUA
rnacentral:tRNA from 1 species